rnacentral:sRNA from 1 species
CUCUUUGUCUGUAGCACAGGUAUGGUACAGGCAGAGGCAGUGCUAGCUUUCUCCUUCUGCCUUUUUAAGGCACAUAAUAUAUGACAUGAAGGGACAACCUCAAAGGGUAAAAG